GCCGUUUAAGACGAAGACGUAGAUAGGUCGCAGGUGUAAGCACAGGUAACUUGUUAAGCCGAGCGAUACUAAUCGCCCAAACACUUUC
rnacentral:rRNA from 1 species